rnacentral:lncRNA from 1 species
AUACAUAUUCGCCAAUAUUGGCAUCUGGGCCAGUCAUAGGUAACCACAGUCAAACCAUCCUACCUCAGAUGGGAAUAAGAUUUGGUUCCCAGGCAAUGCCAACAUUUACAUCGAAUUUUGUAAUGGCAAUGCAACAAAAGAUGGAUGAGAGUAACCAUGAUAUGGUCAAUACUGUAAGAACAAAAUUAGUUCUACAAUAGAAUUCCAGGAUUUUGAUGAUAACAAAGGAUGAAACCAAAAA